CUCCUCUGGUAAUGAACAAAGAGACACCUUGUUGGUGGUGAUGUUCUUAUAUCAGUAAGGGCCAGAGCAGAUAACAGUCCUUUGUUCUUCCUAGUGCCUGGCAUGGUGUUCAAAGCUGUCCUAUGCCUAGGACUCAUAA